UACGUAGGUGGCGAGCGUUGUCCGGACUUACUGGGCGUAAAGAGCGCGCAGGCGGUCGUUCAAGUCGGAUGUGAAAGCCCCCGGCUCAACUGGGGAGGGUCAUUCGAUACUGAUCGACUCGAAGGCAGGAGAGGGAAGCGGAAUUCCCGGUGUAGUGGUGAAAUGCGUAGAUAUCGGGAGGAACACCAGUGGCGAAGGCGGCUUCCUGGCCUGUUCUUGACGCUGAGGCGCGAAAGCUAGGGGAGCAAACGGG
rnacentral:rRNA from 1 species